rnacentral:rRNA from 1 species
GUCCACGCCGUAAACGAUGGAUACUAGCUGUUCGGCGCAAGUUGAGUGGCUAAGCGAAAGUGAUAAGUAUCCCACCUGGGGAGUACGCACGCAAGUGUGAAACUCAAAGGAAUUGACGGGGGCCCGCACAAGCGGUGGAGCAUGUGGUUUAAUUCGAUGAUACGCGAGGAACCUUACCAGGGCUUAAAUGUAGAUUGACAGGACUGGAAACAGUUUUUCUCGGACAAUUUACAAGGUGCUGCAUGGUUGUCGU